UAGACCAGGAAUCUGAGGCACAUA
rnacentral:piRNA from 1 species